UUUUUUUUUUUUUUUUUUUUUUUUUUUA
rnacentral:ribozyme from 1 species